GAAAUUACCCUCCAGAGCUACACUUUGUCAAUUAUUCCUAAGGUAUGUUAACCAACAACCAUGGGAUUGGUACACCGAAUUAUAGAGGCUAUAGCCAUGAGUUUUGUGCACUGAGUUCUGAAAGCUCCGCCAACAGGCUUGGUACAUCAAAUUUUGGAGGCUACGGCUAUGGGUUUGGUGCACUGAUUGCUGGAGGCUUGCAACGGCUAGACCAUAAG
rnacentral:lncRNA from 1 species